rnacentral:lncRNA from 1 species
UGCUACAAGCCUUACAUCUGUGCUGUGUCUGAAUUGCAAAUUGAUGUUCUCAAGACAGAUUUUAGGAACACUAGAGGGAAGCAGAAACUUCUGAAGAUCCAUAAUGCAAAUUCUUAAGUUUGACGAAGACUGUGAUGAAGAUUGAUUAUACCAUUUCUCAAGAGCUAAAUGCAACCUUUGUCUAUCUUUGAAUCAGAUAUUGUUUUCCCACUGAAUGAAAUGCUUUUUCUUAUCUACAGAUACCAGCCUUUUCCAGGAAGCAGAAAUAAUACCAAAUGGUAUAUAAGACCAUUCCAUACAAACAAAAAAUACUUGAACCAAGAGCUCUGAUGGUUUCUUUACAGUCUUUUCAUCAACUAUUCAAGCGUCUGAAGAAAUCUUUUCACCGCUGUGACCAACAGAACCCCAC